GACGAACGCUGGCGGCGUGCUUAACACAUGCAAGUCGAACGGAAAGGCCCUGCUUUUGUGGGGUGCUCGAGUGGCGAACGGGUGAGUAACACGUGAGUAACCUGCCCUUGACUGUGGGAUAACUUCAGGAAACUGGGGCUAAUACCGGAUAGGAGCUCCUGCUGCAUGGUGGGGGUCGGAAAGUUUCGGCGGUUGGGGAUGGACUCGCGGCUUAUCAGCUUGUUGGUGGGGUAGUGGCUUACCAAGGCUUUGACGGGUAGCCGGCCUGAGAGGGUGACCGGCCACAUUGGUACUGAGAUACGGCCCAGUCUCUUACGGGAGGCAGCAGUGGGGAAUAUUGCACAAUGGGCGGAAGCCUGAUGCAGCAACGCCGCGUGCGGGAUGACGGCCUUCGGGUUGUAAACCGCUUUCGCCUGUGACGAAGCGUGAGUGACGGUAAUGGGUAAAGAAGCACCGGCUAACUACGUG
rnacentral:rRNA from 1 species